rnacentral:rRNA from 1 species
AACCGUUCAGGGGUAAACCUGAGAAACCCAAAAGUUCGAAUGGAGAGAUUCAUCGUCAGCGAUCCUGGCAAUUGUGCGGUUCGCGAUGUCGGGGACUCCGGUCUCGCGGCACGCGUCCGUAUGAUUUAUUUGCCGGGCGUCGUCGUCGUGCACUUCUCCCCUAGUAGGACGUCGCGACCCGUUGGGUGUCGGUCUACGACCCGGGUGGGUGCCCGUCACGUGUUACGCUUCACGGCGUCAUGUGGCAGACCCCCGGUUGUCCGACCAGCUGCCCGGCGGUACUCGCACGGUAUUGAGCCGCAAUUUGAACUGCGUCCGGCCCGCCGCAAGCGAGGCCAGUGUUUCCCGGAUGUACGGACUUAGCGCCGUCACCGGGCCUGGCCAGCUGUUGGCUGGCGGUGUCCUGGGACUGGCUCUUAAAUAAAUACCGGUCGGCGACGCUACUGCUUUGGGUACUUUCAGGACCCGUCUUGAAACACGGACCAAGGAGUCUAACAUGUGCGCGAGUCAUUGGGAUCUAUUAAGCCUAAAGGCGCAAUGAAAGUGAAGGUAGGCCUUGCGCCAACCGAGGGAGGAUGGGCCGCGUCACGAUGCGGUCCCGCACUCCCGGGGCGUCUCGUUCUCAU